rnacentral:rRNA from 1 species
CCUACGGGUGGCAGCAGUGGGGAAUAUUGCACAAUGGGGGAAACCCUGAUGCAGCGACGCCGCGUGAGUGAAGAAGUAAUUCGUUAUGUAAAGCUCUGUCUGCAGGGAAGAAAAUGACGGUACCUGAGUAAGCAGCCCCGGCUAACUACGUGCCAGCAGCUGCGGUAAUACGUCGGGGGCAAGCGUUAUCCGGAUUUACUGGGUGUAAAGGGAGCGUAGACGGCAGUGCAAGUCUGGAGUGAAAGGCGGGGGCUCAACCCACGGACUGCGCUGGAAACUGGACGGCUGGAGUGCAGGAGAGGUAAGUGGAAUUACUAGUGUAGCGGUGAAAUGCGUAGAGAUUAGGAGGAACACCAGUGGCGAAGGCGGCUUAAUGGACUGUAACUGACGUUGAGGCUCGAAAGCGUGGGGAGCAAACAGGAUUAGAUACCCGUGUAGUC